UACGGGGGGGGUAAGCGUUGUUCGGAAUUACUGGGCGUAAAGGGCUCGUAGGCGGCCAACUAAGUCAGACGUGAAAUCCCUCAGCUUAACUGGGGAACUGCGUCUGAUACUGGAUGGCUUGGAUCCGGGAGAGGGAUGCGGAAUUCCAGGUGUAGCGGUGAAAUGCGUAGAUAUCUGGAGGAACACCGGUGGCGAAGGCGGCAUCCUGGACCGGUAUUGACGCUGAGGAGCGAAGCCAGGGAGCAACGGG
rnacentral:rRNA from 1 species